rnacentral:rRNA from 1 species
UACGAAGGGGGGCUAGCGUUGCUCGGAAUGACUGGGCGUAAAGGGCGCGUAGGCGGCUUGCACAGUCAGGCGUGAAAUUCCUGGGCUCAACCUGGGGGACUGCGCUUGAGACGUGUGGGCUUGAGUGGGGAAGAGGGUCGUGGAAUUCCCAGUGUAGAGGUGAAAUUCGUAGAUAUUCGGAAGAACACCAGUGGCGAAGGCGACUUACUGGACACAUAUUGACGCUGAGGUGCGAAAGCGUGGGGAGCAAACAGG